AAAAAAGGUAAGCUACUAAGAGCGAAUGGUGGAUGCCUUGACUGGUAAAGGCGAUGAAGGACGUACUAGACUGCGAUAAGCUACGGGGAGCUGUCAAGAAGCUUUGAUCCGUAGAUUUCCGAAUGGGGCAACCCAAUGUAUAGAGAUAUACAUUACCUAUAUAGGAGCGAACGAGGGGAAUUGAAACAUCUUAGUACCCUCAGGAAAAGAAAUCAAUAGAGAUUGCGUCAGUAGCGGCGAGCGAAAGCGCAAGAGGGCAAACCCAGUGCUUGCACUGGGGGUUGUAGGACUGCAAUGUGCAAGAGGUGAGUUUAGCAGAACAUUCUGGAAAGUAUAGCCAUAGAGGGUGAUAGUCCCGUAUGCGAAAAACAAACCUUAGCUAGCAGUAUCCUGAGUAGGGCGGGACACGAGAAAUCCUGUCUGAAGCUGGGUCGACCACGAUCCAACCCUAAAUACUAAUACCAGAUCGAUAGUGCACAAGUACCGUGAGGGAAAGGUGAAAAGAACUGAGGUGAUCAGAGUGAAAUAGAACCUGAAACCAUUUGCUUACAAUCAUUCAGAGCCCUAUGUAGCAAUACAGGGUGAUGGACUGCCUUUUGCAUAAUGAGCCUGCGAGUUGUGGUGUCUGGCAAGGUUAAGCAAACGCGAAGCCGUAGCGAAAGCGAGUCUGAAUAGGGCGCUUAGUCAGAUGCUGCAGACCCGAAACGAAGUGAUCUAUCCAUGAGCAAGUUGAAGCUAGUGUAAGAACUAGUGGAGGACUGAACCCAUAGGCGUUGAAAAGCCCCGGGAUGACUUGUGGAUAGGGGUGAAAGGCCAAUCAAACUUCGUGAUAGCUGGUUCUCUCCGAAAUAUAUUUAGGUAUAGCGUUGUGUCGUAAUAUAAGGGGGUAGAGCACUGAAUGGGCUAGGGCAUACACCAAUGUACCAAACCCUAUCAAACUCCGAAUACCUUAUAUGUAAUCACAGCAGUCAGGCGGCGAGUGAUAAAAUCCGUCGUCAAGAGGGAAACAACCCAGACUACCAGCUAAGGUCCCUAAAUCUUACUUAAGUGGAAAACGAUGUGAAGUUACUUAAACAACCAGGAGGUUGGCUUAGAAGCAGCCAUCCUUUAAAGAAAGCGUAAUAGCUCACUGGUCUAGUGAUUUUGCGCGGAAAAUAUAACGGGGCUAAAGUAAGUACCGAAGCUGUAGACUUGCGCACAACUUAGAUUAUUUAAGUUUAGAAUAUGAGAAACUAAGUUAUAUGUUUAGUUAUAUUUUUACUGAUUUUUAUAGAGUAAAGAUAGAAAUAAAACUUAGUAAAAUCAGUAAAAAUAUUCUUAGACUAAAGUUAAGUAGUUUAAGUUGUGUGCAAGUGGUAGGAGAGCGUUCUAUUUGCGUCGAAGGUAUACCGGUAAGGAGUGCUGGAGCGAAUAGAAGUGAGCAUGCAGGCAUGAGUAGCGAUAAUUAAUGUGAGAAUCAUUAACGCCGUAAACCCAAGGUUUCCUACGCGAUGCUCGUCAUCGUAGGGUUAGUCGGGUCCUAAGUCGAGUCCGAAAGGGGUAGACGAUGGCAAAUUGGUUAAUAUUCCAAUACCAACAUUAGUGUGCGAUGGAAGGACGCUUAGGGCUAAGGGGGCUAGCGGAUGGAAGUGCUAGUCUAAGGUCGUAGGAGGUUAUACAGGCAAAUCCGUAUAACAAUACUCCGAGAACUGAAAGGCUUUUUGAAGUCUUCGGAUGGAUAGAAGAACCCCUGAUGCCGUCGAGCCAAGAAAAGUUUCUAAGUUUAGCUAAUGUUGCCCGUACCGUAAACCGACACAGGUGGGUGGGAUGAGUAUUCUAAGGCGCGUGGAAGAACUCUCUUUAAGGAACUCUGCAAAAUAGCACCGUAUCUUCGGUAUAAGGUGUGGUUAGCUUCGUACUAGGAUUUACUCCGAAAGCGAAGAAACUUACAACAAAGAGUCCCUCCCGACUGUUUACCAAAAACACAGCACUCUGCUAACUCGUAAGAGGAUGUAUAGGGUGUGACGCCUGCCCGGUGCUCGAAGGUUAAUUGAUGGGGUUAGCAUUAGCGAAGCUCUUGAUCGAAGCCCGAGUAAACGGCGGCCGUAACUAUAACGGUCCUAAGGUAGCGAAAUUCCUUGUCGGUUAAAUACCGACCUGCAUGAAUGGCGUAACGAGAUGGGAGCUGUCUCAAAGAGGGAUCCAGUGAAAUUGUAGUGGAGGUGAAAAUUCCUCCUACCCGCGGCAAGACGGAAAGACCCCGUGGACCUUUACUACAGCUUGACACUGCUAUUUGGAUAAGAAUGUGCAGGAUAGGUGGGAGGCUUUGA
rnacentral:rRNA from 1 species